rnacentral:lncRNA from 1 species
GUUGGAUAUUUGUGUGUUGGCCUCAUUUUGCUAAAACAAAUAUACAAGCAAGAUGUUGGAUCAAAUGUUUCAACAUGUUAGGUACAAAAGAUGUUGGACCAAAUGUUGUAACAUGUUUGGGUACGACAGUCAGAUUGCCCAAAUCUCGCGCAUUUAUUACACGUAUCUGCUAUAUAUGGAAAUCCACUCUACAAACGUGUAUAUCAAGAUCUGAUCUGAUCAAGACGUUAUUAGUGCAGAUAUGUUCUUAUCAAGACUUAAUGGAAUGAUUCAACACAUUGUUUAUUUCCUAAAGAGGAUCAACUAUUUUAGGAAAGUUUUUAGUAAGGUCUGAUUUGCUUAGCUGGACGUGACUCAAAGACCAGCUGUGUUCUGAAGC